GGAGUUAGGAAAUGUAAGUGCGCUAAUAUCGCAUUUAUUUGACGAAGGCUCCAAAGGAAGUCACGGCUAACUCGGUGCCAGCAGCCGCGGUAAUACAGAGGUGGCAAGCGUUGUUCGGAAUUAUUGGGCGUAAAGAGCACGUAGGUGGGUUUGUAAGUCAGAUGUGAAAGCCUUCUGUUCAACGGAAGAAUUGCAUCUGAAACUGCGAGUCUUGAGUGUAGGAGGGGAGAGUGGAACUUCUG
rnacentral:rRNA from 1 species